GGAUAGAGGUCGCAGAUGCGAUGAGUACCCUCAGCAAGAGUGCCUGCUCGCUAUAAAGCUGAAUGGGAAAGGCAAUUCUGCCGAAGGGUUAAAGCUUGGCAUCUUUGCCCUGAUUGCAUAUUUAAUAGGUAUGCGAUUGUCAUCAUACAGAUUAUGAUGGAGAGCUAUCGG
rnacentral:ncRNA from 1 species